GAGUUUGAUCAUGGCUCAGGAUGAACGCUGGCGGCGUGCUUAACACAUGCAAGUCGAACGAACCUUCGGGUUAGUGGCGGACGGGUGAGUAACGCGUGAGAAUCUGCCCUCAGGAGGGGGAUAACGGUUGGAAACGACCGCUAAUACCCCAUAUGCCUAAUGGUGAAACGAAUUUCGCCUGAGGAUGAGCUCGCGUCUGAUUAGCUAGUUGGUGAGGUAAUGGCUCACCAAGGCUUCGAUCAGUAGCUGGUCUGAGAGGAUGAUCAGCCACACUGGGACUGAGACACGGCCCAGACUCCUACGGGAGGCAGCAGUGGGGAAUUUUCCGCAAUGGGCGAAAGCCUGACGGAGCAACGCCGCGUGAGGGACGAAGGCCUCUGGGCUGUAAACCUCUUUUCUCAAGGAAGAAGAUAUGACGGUACUUGAGGAAUAAGCCACGGCUAAUUCCGUGCCAGCAGCCGCGGUAAUACGGGAGUGGCAAGCGUUAUCCGGAAUUAUUGGGCGUAAAGCGUCCGCAGGCGGCUUUUCAAGUCUGCUGUUAAAGCGUGGAGCUUAACUCCAUCAUGGCAGUGGAAACUGAAAGGCUUGAGUAUGGUAGGGGCAGAGGGAAUUCCCGGUGUAGCGGUGAAAUGCGUAGAUAUCGGGAAGAACACCAGUGGCGAAGGCGCUCUGCUGGGCCAUUACUGACGCUCAUGGACGAAAGCCAGGGGAGCGAAAGGGAUUAGAUACCCCUGUAGUCCUGGCCGUAAACGAUGAACACUAGGUGUCGGGGGAAUCGACCCCUUCGGUGUCGUAGCUAACGCGUUAAGUGUUCCGCCUGGGGAGUACGCACGCAAGUGUGAAACUCAAAGGAAUUGACGGGGGCCCGCACAAGCGGUGGAGUAUGUGGUUUAAUUCGAUGCAACGCGAAGAACCUUACCAGGGUUUGACAUCCUGCGAACCUCUUAGAAAUUUGAGGGUGCCUUCGGGAAUGCAGUGACAGGUGGUGCAUGGCUGUCGUCAGCUCGUGUCGUGAGAUGUUGGGUUAAGUCCCGCAACGAGCGCAACCCACGUUUUUAGUUGCCAGCAUUUAGUUGGGCACUCUAGAAAGACCGCCGGUGAUAAACCGGAGGAAGGUGUGGAUGACGUCAAGUCAUCAUGCCCCUUACACCCUGGGCUACACACGUACUACAAUGCUACGGACAAAGGGCAGCAAACUCGCGAGAGCUAGCAAAUCCCAUAAACCGUGGCUCAGUUCAGAUCGUAGGCUGCAACUCGCCUACGUGAAGUAGGAAUCGCUAGUAAUCGCAGGUCAGCAUACUGCGGUGAAUACGU
rnacentral:rRNA from 1 species